AACGAACGCUGGCGGCGUGCCUAACACAUGCAAGUCGCGCGAGAAAGCGGGGGCAACUCCGUGAGUAAAGCGGCGCACGGGUGAGUAACACGUAGGUAACCUACCUUCGAGUUCGGGAUAACCUUCCGAAAGGAGGGCUAAUACCGGCUAAGACCACGGGGCCCCGGCCCCGAGGUUAAAGAUGGCCUCUGCUCGCAAGCUAUCGCUCGGAGAUGGGCCUGCGCACCAUUAGCUAGUUGGUGGGGUAACGGCUCACCAAGGCAAAGAUGGUUAGCUG
rnacentral:rRNA from 1 species